AUUCACUUUUACUACCAACUGAUAAAUUAAAAUAAUCUUUACCAUUCAGUGAUAACAAGCACUUUUUGUUACAUUUUAACAUUUUAUGAUGUAUUUAAAUGAGUAGUUAUUGUUGCAAACUCCAUUAGAAAUUUGAAUUGAGAUCAGUUUUGAAAAAAGGGAAAGGGGGAUGUGAAAAAAAAAUGGUGGGGGAGGGGGUUUAAUUUUUCUCAUUUCAGAUUUCAUAAAGAAAAAGAAAAUUUCUUCAAACAUUUUUUUGAGAGGAUUAAUAUUCAACAGCAUAGUGAUUGCUCAAAGACAAAAAAAUUAUUUUAAGUUCGUUAGACCACAUUCAUUCUGUGUCCAAAACCUAUGCUGUGUCAACUAUUUAAUCACAAUCCAAAUUUAGAGCUGAAUCCAGCUUGAAUGUUGUGUCCAUACUUGCCCCCACCGUUCAGGGUUUAACCUAUGCGGUCGUAUAAAGCUGCGCCCUGCGGAGCAUCUGGUUUUA
rnacentral:lncRNA from 1 species